CUACUUUAAGUGGCAGUGGGGGAAGGUGGAUUGGAACCACUUCGCCGCUACCUACAAGCUGAUGUUUUAUACAGAAGGAGAAAGAAGAGGAAGGAGCAUCAACUUGUGAAAUGCCUCAACAAAUAUCACUGGCUGGUGCCAAUUUCUGGGAGGAUACAUCCGACAGGCUUGGACACAUGUGACGUCAGGAGGCCAUGGACGUUUCCUGCAUGAACCUGGUAAUGUGUCACAAAACAGAAAAUGAUUCAGAGUGAGAUGAGAAGGUGAUACUCACACCCAGAUCAACAAACUGAUGUAAAGUUUUCUUUGUCGUGCUGUAAUUCGACCCUGUGUAAAUUUAUGCAAGGCAAGGACAUAAGCCUUUACACUGAAGAACAUUUAGAAGCAUUCUGAUAUGAGAAAUUUAAGAUUUUGUGUUGUUAUGUAUACAAUCAAAGUGGAUAAAUUGUAAGGACAUAAUUGUUUAUACAAAACAUAAAAUAUCUGCAGCAUGAAA